GACGAAGGGGGCUAGCGUUGUUCGGAAUUACUGGGCGUAAAGCGAGUGUAGGCGGUUGCCCAAGUCAGGUGUGAAAGCCUUGAGCUCAACUCAAGAAAUGCACUUGAUACUGGGUGGCUAGAGGACCGGAGAGGAUAGUGGAAUUCCCAGUGUAGUGGUGAAAUACGUAGAGAUUGGGAAGAACACCAGUGGCGAAGGCGGCUAUCUGGACGGUUACUGACGCUAAGACUCGAAAGCGUGGGGAGCAAACAGG
rnacentral:rRNA from 1 species